rnacentral:rRNA from 1 species
GACGAACGCUGGCGGCGUGCUUAACACAUGCAAGUCGAACGGAAAGGCCCUGCUUUUGUGGGGUGCUCGAGUGGCGAACGGGUGAGUAACACGUGAGUAACCUGCCCUUGACUUUGGGAUAACUUCAGGAAACUGGGGCUAAUACCGGAUAGGAGCUCCUGCUGCAUGGUGGGGGUUGGAAAGUUUCGGCGGUUGGGGAUGGACUCGCGGCUUAUCAGCUUGUUGGUGGGGUAGUGGCUUACCAAGGCUUUGACGGGUAGCCGGCCUGGGAGGUGGACCGGCCACAUUGGGACUACGAGACGGACCAGACGCCUACGGGAGGCAGCAGUGGGGAAUAUUGCACAAUGGGCGGAAGCCUGAGGCAGCAGCGCCGCGUGCGGAAUGACGGCCUUCGGGUUGUAAACCGCUUUCGCCUGUGACGAAGCGUGAGUGACGGUAAUGGGUAAAGAAGCACCGGCUAACUACGUG